UAGGGAAUCUUCCACAAUGGACGCAAGUCUGAUGGAGCAACGCCGCGUGAGUGAAGAAGGUCUUCGGAUCGUAAAACUCUGUUGUUAGAGAAGAACACGAGUGAGAGUAACUGUUCAUUCGAUGACGGUAUCUAACCAGCAAGUCACGGCUAACUACGUGCCAGCAGCCGCGGUAAUACGUAGGUGGCAAGCGUUGUCCGGAUUUAUUGGGCGUAAAGGGAACGCAGGCGGUCUUUUAAGUCUGAUGUGAAAGCCUUCGGCUUAACCGGAGAAGUGCAUCGGAAACUGGAAGACUUGAGUGCAGAAGAGGAGAGUGGAACUCCAUGUGUAGCGGUGAAAUGCGUAGAUAUAUGGAAGAACACCAGUGGCGAAAGCGGCUCUCUGGUCUGUAACUGACGCUGAGGUUCGAAAGCGUGGGUAGCAAACAGGAUUAGAUACCCUGGUAGUCCACGCCGUAAACGAUGAAUGCUAGGUGUUGGAGGGUUUCCGCCCUUCAGUGCCGCAGCUAACGCAAUAAGCAUUCCGCCUGGGGAGUACGACCGCAAGGUUG
rnacentral:rRNA from 1 species